rnacentral:rRNA from 1 species
AUGGCGGCGCUUGCUGGCUCCGCCCUGCUGCUGCUCGCGGCGGCGCUGCUCCUCUCCGCGCCGGCUGCCACAGAGGCGUACGAUUCGCUAGAUCCGAACGGGAACAUCACCAUAAAAUGGGAUCUUAAAGAGUGGACUCCUGAUGGUUAUGUUGCAAUGGUCACAAUAUACAACUACCAGCAGUUCCGGCACAUAUCGGCGCCCGGGUGGCAGCUGGGGUGGACGUGGGCCAAGAAGGAGGUCAUCUGGUCCAUGGUGGGGGCUCAGACCACCGAGCAGGGCGACUGCUCCAAGUUCAAGACCAACCCUCCCCAUUGCUGCAAGAGAGAUCCGACCGUCAUCGAUCUUCUCCCAGGAACACCGUACAAAGACCAAGUUGGCAACUGCUGCAAGGGAGGAGUUAUAAGUACGUUUAACCAGGACCCAGCAAAUGCUGCCUCCUUCCAGAUCAGUGUAGGUCUUUCUGGGACUACCAAUAAGACGGUUAAGCUGCCCAAAAACUUCACUCUUAAGACCCCAGGCCCGGGCUACACUUGCGGGCGUGCUACUGUUGUGAGGCCCACCAAGUUUCUCAUCGGUGACAGGCGCAGGACGACCCAAGCUCUUAUGACAUGGAAUGUAACCUGCACCUACUCCCAGUUUCUUGCUCAGAAGACCCCGACCUGCUGUGUAGCUCUCUCGUCGUUUUAUAAUAACACUAUUGUGGGCUGCCCAACAUGCUCUUGCGGCUGCCAAAACAAUAAUACUCAUCCAGGAAGCUGUGUAAAUCCCAACUCACCUUAUUUACAAUCUGCCAUCGAUGGCCCUGGCAAAUACACCGGCCAGCCUCUUGUCCAGUGCACUUCCCACAUGUGCCCGGUAAAAGUGCACUGGCAUGUCAAGCUCAACUACAAGGACUACUGGAGAGUCAAAGUAACCAUCACAAACUUCAACUACCGCAUGAACUACACAGACUGGAACCUGGUUGUCCAGCACCCCAACUUCAACAACAUCACAAAGCUCUUCAGCUUCAACUACAAGCCGCUCUCCCCGUACGGUGGCCGCAUAAACGACAGCGCCAUGUUCUGGGGGAUGAAGUUCUACAAUGAUCUGCUCAAUCAAGCCGGUCCGUUCGGAAACGCGCAGACGGAAAUUCUUCUGCAGAAGGACCCGGAGACCUUCACCUUCGAAAAGGGUUGGGCCUUCCCGCGGCGCGUGUACUUCAACGGCGACAACUGCGUCAUGCCGCCUCCCGACGCCUAUCCGUGGCUGCCUAACGCGAGCCCUCCGAUGAAGCAACCGUGGACGCUCGAGCUCUUGGUGUUCUGGACCGCGCUGGCCACCCUGCUGGCCUAUUAUGUCUGA